rnacentral:lncRNA from 1 species
GUCCUGUGUGGCCUGCUCCCAAGACCCUCAGGGUUUCCUCCAAGGGCAGCAUCAGGUUGAGCAUCUGGAGUCUUGUGGUCUAGGUCAGGUCCGGAUGUGGCUGGUGCUCCACUUCACGCCGGGCAACUGAUCUACCCUCACACACCGGGUAUGCAAUGCUGAGACAAGAUAGACUAUUUCGUUUUGAAAAGGCAGGAACAGUAGACGCAUGGCGAUGGCUGGUCUGUAACCAUCGCCAUGUUCUGGAAUCCAGCCAGGCGCUUGUGAUCAAGAUGCUCUGCUCUGGGGACAGAAGACAGUCCUUGAUUAGGGCCUGGUUCUGCUCCUGGGGGUGGCCCUGGGUCCAUCAUUCCCUUUGGCUGUUGGCUCCAACCCUGGGCUCUGCUGUCUCAGAGGGUCUCCCUUUCCAGAAGAACUCUUUGCACUGACUAGCUUUCUUGGUCUGCUUCCUGUGUGUAAAACUCACAGGGCUCUUUUCAUUUAGAACUGUUUCAGGUUUUUUUAGUCCAGACUAGGGGUACUCUGCUUAAGACGAUUCUCUCAAAUGUUGUGGGUUUCUCAUGAAUCACACCUGGGGAUCCUCAAUGCCCCAGAAGCCACUUCAUUCUUUUUGAGACAGAUCUCUACCUUGGGUGUGCCAUAGUUCAGCAUCCAUAAGAUUCUUAGAAACUCUUUCCUACAGCGGAGAAGGCUACACAGCACUGCCUUAGACAAUUUUAAGGUCUUAAUAAAGGGUUAUACAAGAGUGCCUGGGUGGCUCAGUCGGUUAAGCAUCUGACUCUUGAUUUUGGCUCAGGUCGUGAUGUCAGGGCGUGGGAUGGAGCCCCACAUGACGCUCUGUGCUCAGCAGGGACUCUGUUUGGGACUGUCUCUCUCCCUCUGCCCCAUCCCUGCUCACACUCUCUCUUUCUCUCUCUCAAAUAAAUAGAUUAAAAAAAAAGAAGAAGAAAUGGUUUUAUUUUUCAAUGCACUACCUUCUGAUGGUUUCCUGUUGUCUCUAAAUUCUGCUUGCAAACAGAACAGAGCUCUCUUAAGCUCAUCUCUCUCUUCUUAUAUCUUAUCAGGAAGGAAGUCCAUUGGCAGUCUCCUCCACAUUUGGCUUGGAAAACUCUCUAGCCAGACCUGGUCUUCCUCCUCCUCCUCCUCCUCCUCCUCCUACUGCUUCAGGUCUACUUACUUACUCUGCAUCCUUGUGGCUUCUUUCCUCCCCUCUAAUUUUGGUCCCAGACAUGGAAGCAAGAGUCCGCCCAUCUGCGGGGAGAGGAGGCACGAAAGAGAACCUUCCCGACUUUGCUUCAUGUGGGGUACAAACUGGCUCCAAUUCCACAGGCCCCUACAGACCCAGAGCCCAGCGCUUGUUAACUGGAGAUUUCAUGUCUGUUGGCUCCUAUUUUUAUGAAAGAAAAAAAUGGGUCUCUGGCCCCAAAGCGAGCUGACUGCCCUGGAGUAGCUCUCCAGUCUUCGUUCCGUCCAUUACAGAUGUCAGUAAAGACAUAAUACAAACGUGGCUCCCCAGACGCACCCACACUGUCGAGCAGGGGCUGCUGGAAAUCAGUCUUGACUUAUUUCCCGGGGACCCAGGAGGACCCUCCAAGCUGUCUCCUGGAGACCUAAGUAAGGGGCCCUUAAAGAGACAUAGCUUGCCCUGUCAGCCUACUCCUCCUCCCCAUGAGGACCUUUUCCUCCAGGUCACCUCAGAAAUGGCUGUUUUGCUCCUGGAAGGACAAACCAUUGCUUCCUCCCGUCGGAGGCGCUCUCCAGCCAACAUGGAAAAGAUCCUCCCUUUCGUGAACCGCAUGACCAUCAGCCUCCAUGUCUCCGUCGGCGGGGUGGGUGUGGGGUCCCCACCUUACGCAGUGGGGGAGGGUCAAGGGCAGCAAAUGCCUAAUACAGGUCAUGGUACUGGAAAAACUAAGAAAGAAAUAGCAAUAUGAUAAGGCUAAUAAUGAAUAACCAAUAUGAAUAGUAACUAAACUCCCUUGGCCUGAGUUUUGAGAGCUUGGGUAGAGGAGUAGGAUCCCCUCAGUCCUGGGGACACGAUAAAGGGUAUCAGGUAUGUGGUGACUCAGUCAAGUGACUCGAUGCUGUGCACGUGUGUGGGGGGGGGCGGGGGUGUGGACAGCAGAUUCCUGCGCACCUACAGCUCCCACCAUGCCAGCUCUUUAAUCUGCCAUGGCCCAUGGCCUGGGGCGAGGGGUUCCCAGAGCAGGUUGUAGCAAUGUCCCCGAAGCAGGGUUUCCCAGGGACCGUGCCUCUUCCUCUCGAGGUCAGCUGGGUCCCUGUGAGGCCCAGGACCCGGCAGCCUAGUCCGGGGAUGGUCCCGCUGAAUCCGGGGACAGAGAACCCCCUGAUGGGUUGUGCGGGCCUGUUUUCCCUUUGCUCGGCUUUCUGCUUUGUGGCUGUCACCUGCUUGGAGCACCUCUGUCAGAACGCGGGGUCAGGAUUGGGAAUGGUGAAAUCCAAGUCUGCGAACCCAGUUCCCAGGCAGGGCGGCUGUGUACGGCCCUGGCAGGAAGCUGAACCCCUCACUUGCUGCUUUCGAGUCUGGGGAGCUGAGCUGGCAGCCGUUGACUAUCCUGCCUCCGAGGCCUGAAUGAGAUUGGCUUUCUGCCCUUUGUUCCCAGGCCUGGUGAAGUCCCAGAGCUUCUCCUGUACAUUUGCUAAUUCCCAGUGGGGGGCUGGGGCGCUCCUUUUUCCGGCCCCUACUUCCUGGAAGGGCCCUCUGGAAUGUCCCUCACUCACCCUACCAUGGAAUUGGCUCGAUUUGGAGAAAGGCAGCAACGACACACGCAUUUACAAAAUACUCGUGAAUCCAGGAUCUUCUGCUGAAAAUUGUUUGGAAAACCUGGGGAAGGGGAAGGGGAAGGGAAAGGGUUGGGN